rnacentral:tRNA from 1 species
CUGGUAGUUCAGCUGGUUAGAACGCUAGCCUGUCACGCUAGAGGUCGUGGGUUCGAUUCCCAUCC